rnacentral:lncRNA from 10 species
AGAUGUGAUACUGGAGCUGUGGCAGCCAUCUUGUGGUCACUAGGUUCAGUCCUUCUGGAUUGGCACUGCUGAUUGUGGCACCUCUUGGGCACAGCAUUUCCUGCCCGGCUCUAUGCCCCUGAGCAGCUCCUAUUGGCUGUCCCUGGUCAGGGUUGCAUGCUGGUCCAAUCAUCCCUGGCGCAAAGGAGAGGCCGUGGACAUGAAAGGAAGGAGCCACUGGGUACAUGUGGUGUCACAGAUGGCCUGCUCUGCACUUCUACUUCUAAAGCACAGAUGGGAAGAAAUGGAUCUUGUCUACGAUCUACCCUGUACCCAACUGGGCACUUACACAGAAGCCUCACUCAUUCAGGACUGCAUUAGAAUUCUCAUGGCUAGGUUGGCCGUCACUUCAUU